rnacentral:siRNA from 1 species
UUAAUAUUAGGUGAGUGUCCGCGC